rnacentral:rRNA from 1 species
UACGGAGGGUGCAAGCGUUAUCCGGAUUCACUGGGUUUAAAGGGUGCGUAGGCGGGCAGGUAAGUCAGUGGUGAAAUCCCCGAGCUCAACUUGGGAACUGCCGUUGAUACUAUCUGUCUUGAAUACUUUGGAGGUAAGCGGAAUAUGUCAUGUAGCGGUGAAAUGCUUAGAUAUGACAUAGAACACCAAUUGCGAAGGCAGCUUGCUACACAGUUAUUGACGCUGAGGCACGAAAGCGUGGGGAUCAAACAGGAUAGAAACCCCGGUA